CAGAGGUCCCGAGCGUUGUUCGGAUUCACUGGGCGUAAAGGGUGCGUAGGUGGCGAGGUAAGUCGGAUGUGAAAUCUCCAAGCUUAACUUGGAAAUGGCAUUGGAAACUACCUUGCUCGAGGUUUGAGGGGGGACUGGAAUUCUCGGUGUAGCAGUGAAAUGCGUAGAUAUCGAGAGGAACACCUGUGGCGAAGGCGAGUCCCUGGACAACACCUGACACUGAGGCACGAAAGCUAGGGGAGCAAACAGGAUUAGAUACCCUGGUAGUCCUAGCUGUAAACGGUGCUUGCUUGCUGUAAAAGGAAUCGACCCCUUUUGUGGCGAAGCCAACGCGUUAAGCAAGCCGCCUGGGAAGUACGGUCGCAAGAUUA
rnacentral:rRNA from 1 species